CCUACGGGAGGCAGCAGUGGGGAAUCUUGCACAAUGGGGGAAACCCUGAUGCAGCGACGCCGCGUGGGUGAAGAAGUAUUUCGGUAUGUAAAGCCCUAUUAGUAGGGAAGAAAAAUGACGGUACCUGACUAAGAAGCACCGGCGAAAUACGCGCCAGCAGCCGCGGUAAUAUGUAGGGUGCAAGCGUUAUCCGGAUUUACUGGGUGUAAAGGGAGCGCAGGCGGCACGCUAAGCCUGAUGUGAAAACCCGCGGCCCAACCGCGGGAGGGCAUUGGGGACUGGGGGGCUGGAGUACCGGAGGGGCAAGCGGAAGUCCUAGUGUAGCGGUGAAAUGCGUAGAUAUUGGGAGGAACACCAGUGGCGAAGGCGGCCUGCUGGACGGAGACUGACGCUGAGGCUCGAAAGCGUGGGGAGCAAACGGGAUUAGAUACCCCAGUAGUC
rnacentral:rRNA from 1 species